AGGAAUGUUGCUGCUUAAAAUAUUUAUUAUCACAUUAAACUUCUCAAAUACAAAAAGAAGUGGAUCAAAUAUCAGAUUUGUAUUUGAACACCAGUAAGAUUUGAGACGAUAAAGAAAAGAAAUUAAAGUAUUGCUCAUGAGCACUGUGACCGGUGGUGCAGCUGAAGCUUACUUCGGUGGAGGAACAAAGUUAACAGUUUUAGACUCAAAGAUUGAAGUCAAAGGACCGACCAAAGUGAAAGUUUUAAAACCUUCAACAAAACAGUGCAACUAUAAAAAUGACCAAGAGAACAAGGAGGAGAAGGAGAAGAAAAAGAAGACGCUGGUGUGUGUGGCGUCGGGCUUCUACCCAGAUCAUGUCACUGUGUCCUGGCACAUGCCCGGGAUAAACAUUACUACGGGUGUGGCGACUGACAACACUCCCCUGUGGGAUGUAGACUCCAAGUCAUACAAGAUCACCAGCAGGCUGAUGAUUGAUGCUAAAACAUGGUUCAAGCCUGAUAAUGUGUUCACCUGCACCGUCCGCUUCUACAAUGGAACUCAUUACAACUUAUACCAUGAUUCAGUUUCUGGUGUUGAAGGUGAAGGCCUGACAGGAGAGAAAUAUGUGAGGAUCACACAGAACGCCAAACUCUCCUACGGUGUUUUUAUCAUCAAGAGCUGCAUCUAUGGAGCCUUUGUUGCCUUUUUGGUGUGGAAGCUCCAGGGUUCCCAUGGCAACAAGUGAGAGCUAAGCUGAAACCGUAACUCUUCUUUUCUGUACAUAAUAAGUAAAGCGGCUGUAUUUCUGUAAAGCUGCAGUGCUGUAUUUGUGUUCGUGUGAAAGACAUUUUAAUUCUUUGACUAUUUUCUCUCUUAAUAAUGCUUGUUUGUUCAAUUUUCUUUUCAAUAAAAAGAUGAUGUUGGAAA